CACCGAUGUCGGUAAGCAACACUCCCUCUCCCCUAUGUUAGGUCGGUUGUUAGGAUUGAUUUCCCCGUUGCUCAACGAACCCUCGAUGUCGACUAGGUUAUGGACGCACUGAUGAGGCUAGUAGUUCAGGCAGCAACACUGAUAACUGUGAUUCAGGGAUGGCUCAUGUUCAUGCACAGGAGAGCUAUUCGUCGUGGUGAGAGACCUGUCAUCAGUUAUGCUCCAAUGCUUAUGCGGGAGCAGGAAAGGAUCGCCAAUCUGAACUACAUCUACAACUGCAACAACACAGAGGCCCUAUGGGUGCUUUGAAUGAAAAGAGCACUAUUUGCCAGACUUGUCCAGACCUUUAGGAGUAGGGACCUGCUACAAUAUCGCAUCCACACCAGUGUGGAAGAGCAAGUGGCCAUGUUCCUCCAUGUUGUUGGCCAUAACCAAAGGUUCAGGGUUACAUACAACACGUUCAGGAGAUCGAUGGAGACCAUAUCAAGGUACUUCAAGCAAGUGAUCUAUGCUGUUGGGGAGCUUAGAGGAGAGAUGAUCAAGUUACCAACCGGCCGAACUCCUACCAAGAUUCGCACUAGCCCAAGGUGGUAUCCAUACUUCAAGGUGAGCACUGAUGGUAUGUGCUUCAUAGCUUGA
rnacentral:rRNA from 1 species